rnacentral:rRNA from 1 species
AUAAUCAAUUUCUACUUAACUUACACAUGCAAGUCUCCGCAACCCUGUGAGAACGCCCUCUAAUCUCCGAAGGGGAUCAGGAGCUGGUAUCAGGCUCGACCCUCAGCCCAUGACACCUAGCUACGCCACUCCCACAAGGGUACUCAGCAGUGAUCAACAUUGAAUAUAAGCGAAAGCUUGAUUCAGUCAAAGUUAAUAGAGCCGGCAAAUCUGGUGCCAGCCGCCGCGGCCAUACCACGGGCUCAAAUUGACUAUACCCGGCGUAAAGCGUGAUUAAAGUUAACUUAAAUUGCAGAUAAACCGGGCCUAAGAUGUUUCAACCAUUGAACCCGGGAAACUCAAAACGAAAGUCA